rnacentral:lncRNA from 1 species
UGGGAAAAUGGGGUGGCGAGGCUGGGCGCAGAGAGGCUGGGGCUGCGGCUCAGCGUGGGCUCCCCUGGUGCGCAGCAGCAGCUGCGAGGAGCUCACUGCGGUUCUAGCCCCGCCGCAGCUGCUUAGACGCAGGUUUAACUUCUUUAUUCAGAAAAAAAUGUGGUUCAGAAAAGAACCCAGUAAGGUUGAACCUCGAAGAUCAGACACGGCAACAAGUGGUGAAGCAUACAAGAGAAGUGCUUUGAUUCCUCUGGUGGAAGAAACAGUCUUUUAUCUUUCUCCCUAUCCUAUAAGGACUCUCAUAAAACCUUUAUUUUUUUACUGUUGGGUUUACAGGCUGUGCAUUUGGAUCAGCUGCUAUUUGGCAAUACGAAUCACUGAAAUCCAGGGGUCCAGAGUUAUUUUGAUGGCAUAAAAGCUGAUUGGUUGGAUAGCAUAAGACCACAAAAAGAAGGAGACUUCAGAAAGGAGAUUAACAAGCGGUGGAAUAACCUAAGUGAUGGCCAGCGGACUCAGGUAUCAUAGCUGCAAACGUCCUUGUAUUCUGUUUGUGGAGAGUACCUUCUCUGCAGUGGACAGUGAUCUGAUAUUUCAAAUCUAAUCCAGCCUCAAAAGUGUUAUUUCCAAUUUUGUCAGUUAUGUGUGUAAAGUUGCCACACGAAGAUAUGGACCAUCACUUGGUGCAUCUCGCGCCAUCAUGAUGAUCCUCGCAGCUGUCCGCACUAAGAUCCCAGAAGGGAGGCUUGCCAUUAUUUACUUCCAAUGUUCACAUUCACAGCAGGAAAUGCCCUACAAUCCAUUAACGCCACGGAUAUGGCAGGAAUGAUCCUGGGACGGAAAUUUUUUGAUUAUGCAGCACAUCUUGGGGGAGCUCUCUUUGGAAUAUGGUAUGUUACUUACCCUCAUGAACUGAUUUGGAAGAACAGGGAGCCUCUAGUGAAAAUCUGGCAUGAAAUGAGGACUAAUGCCCCCCCAAACAAGAGGUGGCUCUAAGUAAAACUGGGAUUGCACAGUACCGGUGCACCUGUCUUGUCCUGCCGGAGAGCCCCAGGAGACAUCGGCCCUAGAGUGAUCAUGGCUACGUUCCCGCCUGGAAGACGCCAGCAUCUGGCCUCCCACUGUUUUCAGCUGUGUCCCCGGGUCCGUGUCUUUUCAGAAAGUGAAAAUGACAUAGUUGUGACGUAAAGGUUUACAUCUAGUU